rnacentral:rRNA from 1 species
CCUACGGGUGGCUGCAGUGGGGAAUAUUGGACAAUGGGCGAAAGCCUGAUCCAGCCAUGCCGCGUGUGUGAAGAAGGCCUUCGGGUUGUAAAGCACUUUCAGUGGGGAAGAAAGCCUUGGGGCUAAUACCCUCGAGGAAGGACAUCACCCACAGAAGAAGCACCGGCUAACUCCGUGCCAGCAGCCGCGGUAAUACGGAGGGUGCGAGCGUUAAUCGGAAUUACUGGGCGUAAAGCGCGCGUAGGCGGUCUGAUAAGCCGGUUGUGAAAGCCCCGGGCUCAACCUGGGAACGGCAUCCGGAACUGUCAGGCUAGAGUGCAGGAGAGGAAGGUAGAAUUCCCGGUGUAGCGGUGAAAUGCGUAGAGAUCGGGAGGAAUACCAGUGGCGAAGGCGGCCUUCUGGACUGACACUGACGCUGAGGUGCGAAAGCGUGGGUAGCAAACAGGUUUAGAUACCCCGGUAGUC